AUUGAACGCUGGCGGCAGGCCUAACACAUGCAAGUCGAGCGAGCGGCGGACGGGUGAGUAAUGUAUGGGGAUCUGCCCGAUAGAGGGGGAUAACUACUGGCAACGGUGGCUAAUACCGCAUACUAUCGGAUGAACCCCUAUGGGAUUAGCUAGUAGGUGGGGUAAAGGCUCACCUAGGCGCCGAUCUCUAGCUGGUCUGAGAGGAUGAUCAGCAACACUGGGACUGAGACACGGCCCAGACGCCUACGGGAGGCAGCAGUGGGGAAUAUUGCAAAAUGGGAGCAAGCCUGAUGCAGCCAGGCCGCGUGGAUGAAGAAGGCCUUAGGGUUGUAAAGUACUUUCAGCGGGGAGGGGUUACCCGCAGAAGAAGCACCGGCUAACUCCGUGCCAGCAGCCGCGGUAAAAU
rnacentral:rRNA from 1 species